rnacentral:rRNA from 1 species
UAGGGAAUCUUCGGCAAUGGACGAAAGUCUGACCGAGCAACGCCGCGUGAGUGAAGAAGGUUUUCGGAUCGUAAAACUCUGUUGUUAGAGAAGAACAAGGACGUUAGUAACUGAACGUCCCCUGACGGUAUCUAACCAGAAAGCCACGGCUAACUACGUGCCAGCAGCCGCGGUAAUACGUAGGUGGCAAGCGUUGUCCGGAUUUAUUGGGCGUAAAGCGAGCGCAGGCGGUUUCUUAAGUCUGAUGUGAAAGCCCCCGGCUCAACCGGGGAGGGUCAUUGGAAACUGGGUGACUUGAGUGCAGAAGAGGAGAGUGGAAUUCCAUGUGUAGCGGUGAAAUGCGUAGAUAUAUGGAGGAACACCAGUGGCGAAGGCGGCUCUCUGGUCUGUAACUGACGCUGAGGCUAGAAAGCGUGGGGAGCAAACAGG